rnacentral:rRNA from 1 species
AUGAACGCUAGCGGCAGGCCUAAUACAUGCAAGUCGAACGGUGGCGCUUCGGCGCCAUAGUGGCAAACGGGUGCGUAACGCGUAAGCAACCUGCCCACAACUGGGGGAUAGCCCGGCGAAAGCGGGGGUAAACCCGCAUGGUCCUUUUUCACCACCUGGUGAGUCAGGUAAACAUUAAUGGGUUGUGGAGGGGCUUGCGUCUGAUUAGGUAGUUGGUGGGGUAGUGGCUCACCAAGCCGAUGAUCAGUAGGGGUUCUGAGAGGAUUGGCCCCCACAUGGGUACUGAGAUACGGACCCAACUCCUACGGGAGGCAGCAGUAGGGAAUAUUGGGCAAUGGAGGCAACUCUGACCCAGCCAUGCCGCGUGGAGGAUGAAGGCGCUCAGCGUCGUAAACUUCUUUUAGCUGGGAAGAACAGCAGAGAUGCGUCUUUGUGUGACGGUACCAGAGGAAUAAGCACCGGCUAACUCCGU